GGGGAGAUAGCGAAGCGGUCAAACGCAACAGACUGUAAAUCUGUCGGCCAAGUGCCUUCGGAGGUUCGAAUCCUCCUCUCCCCACAA
rnacentral:tRNA from 1 species